CUUUUAAAUGGGGAAGGUGCUCUGAAGAUUUGUGCCGAAACGCCCUCUCCUCGAGAUUUAACUAAUUGUUCUCUCCUCUCUCUGGCUGUUGGACGCGCACCUUUCCGGAGGAUGGGGGAGGUAACCGAGGUCCUGAGCCGGUACCUGAACUUGGGUGAACAGAGAACCUCAACUUUUGCUUUCUAGCACUCGACCGCACCCAGCAAGGCGUCCGCUUACUCAGUGGUUCUUAGUGUUUGGAGUGCUUAAGAAUAACUGGUGGUGUUUGAUUUCACCAAGUACAUUCGGGCAGAUCUUAGUUCUUGGGGGGGUGGGGCUGGAAUCUGCGGGUGUGACCUCCACUCUAGGUCUGUGCUGUCCAGCCAAGUAGCCAUUGGCCACAUGUGGCUGCUAAGCAUGUGAAAUACAGCUAAUCAAGACUGAAAUAUUAAAACACACACCAGUUUUAGAAGACUAGGAAAAAAGCAAACUUUUAUUAGAUGUUUAUGUUGAUUAUAUGUUGGAAAGAUAAUAUUUUGGAUGUGUCAAACGUUAAAAAUUAAUUUCACCCAUUUUUGUGACGUGGCUACUAAGGAAUUUCAGGUGAUGCUUGUGGCUCCUCACACGGUUUCUAUUGGACAGUGCUGCUGCAGGUGAUUCGAAGGCGGGUGGGUGCAGGAACCCAGCUGAGAGUUCAGAAAUUAGUGUAACUUUGGAGACAAGUGUCUGUGGGGGAAGGAGCCUCCGGACGUGGAGAUACAACUCUUGCUCCUAACAUUUAUCGAGUCUUUAAUUAAUGCCCUGGGUAACUAUAAGGUUGGAACUGUAAUUGUCACCAUAUUGAUGAUGAGAAACUUGAGAAAGGAUAAGUGACUUGUCUAAAAUCACACAGUAAAACCUCAAAUCAAACCCAGGCCCUCUGGCUCCAGACUCUAAAUUAUACUCUGAAUGAUACUCACUGAUUGUCCGAGGACACAAAGAGUGUCGAGGCACUAUCUGCUGGGUGUCUGCAGAACCUUACUGUUCUAAAGCAAAACAUUUUACCCCUGGACAAGAGCAGCAAAGGUGGCGUUCGGCCCUCCUUGGCUCUCAUUUGACUGUUCAAAGCCAGGUGCUUUUCUUUCUUGGGUCAGAACGUAUUUUCAGCAGCAUUUUGAAGCACCCCUGGCGUGCACUGCACAGGGAAACCAGGACCACAUUGGUGUGCUGUGUCCUCCUUACCAACUGGCUCUUGGAGAAGGUGAGACAGAAGUAGCUGAGACUCCAUUCCUGAGAUCUUCACUUAACAACUCCUGCAGCUUGUGCAGAGCCUUACUAGAAAUACUGAAGGCAGAAGUCCCUGGAAAAUAGGGCCCAUAACUAAUUAGUAAUUUGUUUUUGAGUAAUUUGUUACCGUUAUUUGAGCACAUUCUGCAGUCCAGGCAUUUUGCUAAACUCUUACAUGGCAGGCAGUCUCUCACGCAAUUUCAAUGCCUACUUUUUUUCUCCAUCUUAUUUUUGAAAAAUGUUAAAAAAAACACAGGAAGGUCGAGUUAUACAGUUAAUACUCACAUAAAGACCACUUAAGGGCCGGGUCUGGUGGCUCACGCCUGUAAUCCCAGCACUUUGGGAGGCCGAGGUUGGCGGAUCACGAGGUCAGGAGUUGGAGACCAGCCUGGUCAAUAUGGUGAAACCCUGUCUCUACUGAAAAUACAAAAAUUAGCUAGGCCUGGUGGCGUGCAUCUGUAGUCCCAGCUACUCGGGAGGCUGACGCAGAAGAAAUGCUUGAACCCGGGAGGCGGAGGUUGCAGUGAGCCAAGAUCGCACCACUGCACUCCAGCCUGGGUGACAGAGCAAGACUCUGUCUC
rnacentral:lncRNA from 1 species